rnacentral:rRNA from 1 species
UACGUAGGGUGCGAGCGUUGUCCGGAAUUAUUGGGCGUAAAGGGUGCGUAGGCGGCGCGGUAAGUCGGGUGUGAAAUCUCGGAGCUUAACUCCGAAACUGCAUUCGAUACUGCCGUGCUUGAGGACUGGAGAGGAGACUGGAAUUUACGGUGUAGCGGUGAAAUGCGUAGAUAUCGUAAGGAAGACCAGUGGCGAAGGCGGGUCUCUGGACAGUUCCUGACGCUGAGACGCGAAAGCGUGGGGAGCAAACAGG